rnacentral:rRNA from 1 species
GCAUAUCAAUAAGCGGAGGAAAAGAAACCAACAGGGAUUGCCCCAGUAACGGCGAGUGAAGCGGCAAAAGCUCAAAUUUGAAAUCCUGCGGGAAUUGUAAUUUGAAGGUUUCGUGGUCUGAGUCGGCCGCGCCCAAGUCCAUUGGAACAUGGCGCCUGGGAGGGUGAGAGCCCCGUAUGGCGCACGCCGACUCUUUGCACCGCGGCUCCGACGAGUCGAGUUGUUUGGGAAUGCAGCUCUAAGUGGGUGGUAAAUUCCAUCUAAAGCUAAAUAUCGGCGAGAGACCGAUAGCGAACAAGUACAGUGAUGGAAAGAUGAAAAGCACUUUGAAAAGAGAGUGAAACAGCACGUGAAAUUGUUGAAAGGGAAGGGCUUGCAAGCAGACACGGUUUACCGGGCCAGCGUCGAAUAAGGGGGGGAAAAAGAGGGAAAGAAUGUGGCGCGUGCCUUCGGGUGCGCGUGUUAUAGCUUUCUCUAAUACCCCCAUGUUUGUUUGAGGCCUGCGAUUCUAGGACGCUGGC